ensembl:lncRNA
GUGGGGGAGAGUGGGUCUGACCAAACUGAGGGAGCUGAACCUCAAACUGAGCCUGAGGGGCAAGUGCAGGACCAGAGGUGCGAGAAGGGCCAGGGCUGGGAGCUGAGAAGACAGAGACAGCGGCAGAAGGGGAGCUUCUUCGAUGGCACAUGCGCGGAGAACAAGGGCACCGCCGCGGUCGAUAGUUCCCGGGAAAAUGGACGGCCUCGUCCACCUAAUGGAUCUCUCCAAUACCCUUCAAUGGGAUCCAACUUGGGAUUAGUCACGCAGCAGAUUUUUCAACAGUUCCUCUAGACUCUGCUUUCUUUCAAAGCAAUUUGGUAAAUGUCAGCUGAGAGAUUCAGCUUACUUUCAUGAUUUAAGGACUUUUUUUUUUUUAGUUUUUUAAGACUCUGAGGUGUUCUUUUGCUUUUUGUCUUUGAAGCCAUGGUAGUUUUGAUUUUUGUAUUACUUAAUUCCCCAUAUACCCCUCACCAUCCCCUAAUGUUUUAACAUUCAGAUCAGUUACUGUAGUACAUUUGUCACAAUUAGGACACCAGUAUAGACACAUCUAGACUUGAUUCGGAUUUCAUCAGGUUUCCAAUUAUGUUCUUUCUUUUCCAAGAUUCAAUCCAGGGAAUGAUACUGCAUUUAGUCAGCCUGUCUCCUCAGUCUCCCCUGGUCUGUGACAGUUUCAUAGUCUUUUUAAUAACCUUCACAUUUUUGAAGAGGAAUUGGUCAGGUGUUUCAUAGAACAUCCCUCAGUUUAGGUUUGUCUGAGUUUUUUUCAUGAUUACCUUGGGGUUAUGGGUUUUGGGAAAAGAGGCUGCAGAUUUAAAGUGACUUGCUCACUGUGUUAUAUCAAAUGGGGUACCAGCUAUUAGUGUAACAUCACUGGCAAUGCCAACCUUGAUCCCCUGGCCAGACAGUGUUAACCAGGUUUUCCCCUGAAAACCUUUUUAUUUUUCUUUUCUUUGAAAUCAGCCAAGUCAAAGCUAUGGUUUUUGCAGUAGUCAUGUAUGAAUGUGAAAGUUGGACUAUAAACAAAGCUGAGCACUGAAAAAUUGAUGCUUUUGAACUAUGGUGUUGGAGAAGACUCUUGAGUGUCCCUUGAACUAUAAGGAGAUGCAACCAGUCAAUCCUAAAGGAAAUAAGUCCUGAAUAUUCAUUGGAAGGACUGAUGCUAAAGCUGAAACUCCAAUACUUUGGCCACCUGAUGGGAAGAACUGACUCAUUGGGAAAGACCCUAAUGCUGGGAAGGAUUGAAGGUGGGAGGAGAAGGGGACGAUGACAGAUGGUUGGAUGGAUGUGAGUUUGAGUAGGCUCUGGGAGUUGGUGAUGGACAGAAAAGCCUGGUGUGCUACAGUCCAUGGGGUCACAAAGAGUUGGACAGGACUGGGCAACUGAACUGAACUGAAGCCUAAAAUGCAGUUAUCAGAUUCAGAGGGUAUUUCUAAACAUUGUGUUGUUCAAGAUACUAAAAUGUAAAGUGUCGUUAUUAUGUUAAUCUUCAUAGUAGGCUGGGGAAAGCAGAGUGGAAAGUAUUUGGAGGAGAAAAGAGAAAGGAUAUAAACUUACUUCAAGUUAAACUUUUAUUUCCAAAUUCUAUAGUAAGACAU